CCUAGGGGAGGCAGCAGUGAGGAAUAUUGGUCAAUGGGCGGGAGCCUGAACCAGCCAAGUCGCGUGAGGGAAGACGGUCCUACGGAUUGUAAACCUCUUUUGCCGGGGAGCAACGGGGUCCUUGCGAGGGCCCGAUGAGAGUACCCGGAGAAAAAGCAUCGGCUAACUCCGUGCCAGCAGCCGCGGUAAUACGGAGGAUGCGAGCGUUAUCCGGAUUUAUUGGGUUUAAAGGGAGCGUAGGCGGGUUGUUAAGUCAGUUGUGAAAGUUUGCGGCUCAACCGUAAAAUUGCAGUUGAUACUGGCAUCCUUGAGUACAGUAGAGGUAGGCGGAAUUCGUGGUGUAGCGGUGAAAUGCUUAGAUAUCACGAAGAACUCCGAUUGCGAAGGCAGCCUGCUGGACUGUAACUGACGCUGAUGCUCGAAAGUGUGGGUAUCAAACAGGAUUAGAUACCCUGGUAGUC
rnacentral:rRNA from 1 species